rnacentral:rRNA from 1 species
UACGUAGGGUGCAAGCGUUAAUCGGAAUUACUGGGCGUAAAGCGUGCGCAGGCGGUUGUGCAAGACCGAUGUGAAAUCCCCGGGCUUAACCUGGGAAUGGCAUUGGUGACUGCACGGCUAGAGUGUGUCAGAGGGGGGUAGAAUUUCACGUGUAGCAGUGAAAUGCGUAGAGAUGUGGAGGAAUACCAAUGGCGAAGGCAGCCCCCUGGGAUAACACUGACGCUCAUGCACGAAAGCGUGGGGAGCAAACAGG